UACGGAGGGGGCUAGCGUUGUUCGGAAUUACUGGGCGUAAAGCGCACGUAGGCGGCUUUGCAAGUCAGAGGUGAAAGCCCGGGGCUCCAACCCCGGAAUUGCCUUUGAGACUGCAUCGCUAGAAUUGUGGAGAGGUAAGUGGAAUUCCGAGUGUAGAGGUGAAAUUCGUAGAUAUUGGAAGAACACCAGUGGCGAAGGCGACUUACUGGACACAUAUUGACGCUGAGGUGCGAAAGCGUGGGGAGCAACAGG
rnacentral:rRNA from 1 species